GGCGGGAAAGGGAGCCGGAAAGGCAACAAAGGGAGCGCGAGGGGAGCCGAGCCUGCCCCCUCCUCCUCCUCUCCAGGGACCACCCACCGGGCCAGCGAGAGAGAGAGAGAGAGAGAGAGAAGGGGCUUUUCUCCUCCGCGCCCCUUCUCUUCUCUUCCCUGCAGCGACAGGGUCACCGGCGUCGCCUGCCCCCUCCCUCGCCCAGGUCGGGGAAACCCUGACUUGCAGGCGCCGAGGGAGCCCACCAAGCUGCCUUCCUCCAGGGGAUGGGCCAGCUGCUCUCUCGGUGCCAGCCCUGCAGGCAUUCCUGUCGCUUUACGCAAGCACGCAACCUGGGACUCCUUGGGCGAAUUUAAGCCCCCCCCCCACCUCUCUCAGGGCAGAAUAAUAAUAAUAAUAAUAAUAUAAUUAUUAUAAUAUUAUAAUAAUUAUUAUUAUUGUCGAAGGCUUUCAUGGCCGGAAUCACUGUGUUGCCGUGAGUUUUCCAGGCUGUGUAGCCAUGUUCCAUAAGUAUUCCCUCCUGACGUUUCGCCCGCAUCUGUGGCAGGCAUCCUCAGAGGUUGUGAGGUCUGUUAGAAACUUGGCAAGUGGGGUUUAUAUAUUUGUGGAAUUCUCAGGGUGGGAGAAAUAACUCUUAUCUGAACCAAGCGAGAAUGUUGCAGUUGGCCACCUUGAUUAGCAUUGAAUAGCCUUUCAGCUUCAAGGUCUGUCUGCUUACCGCCUGGGGGAAUCCUUUGUUGGGAGGUGUUUGCUGGCCCUGAUGGAUUCAUGAUUGAAAUUGUUCACAUGCUUGUGAUUUCAAUGGUUUCUCUGUGUAGUCUGACGUGGACACAGCAUAUUAUUUGAAAACACAGAAAUGCUGGACCAACUCUAACAACUACUAUGUCAGACUACACAGAGCAACCAUUGAAAUCCACAAGCAUGUGGGCAAUUUCAACAGAAAGGUUGAAACCAUGAAAAUGAACAAAAUCUGGUGACCAGUAUUAAAAAAAAAACCCCUCCAAAAUCAAGACAGUAAAUAACACCACUCAGAAAACAGGAUUCCAGACAUGAAGCAAUUAGGGCCAGCUAACACCUCCCAACAAAGGAUUCCCCGGCAGUAAGGAGCCAGACCUUGAAGCUAAGAAGCCAUUCAAUGCUAGUCAAGGUGGCCAAUUGCAACAUUCACACCUGCCUCAAACAGACAAGAGGUCUUUCUCCCACCUUGGACAUUCCACAGAUAUAUAAACGUCAGGCAAAACAUCAGGAGAUAAUGCUUCUGGAACAUGGCCACACAACCUGGAAACCUCACAGCAACACAGUGACAGGAUGUCAACAAAGAUAUUAUCAGGAAAUUGUGCUUGAAUUAUAGAAUAGGGUACAUCAUGUCAAAUAAAUACAUAAUAUCUUGUUUUAAACUCAAACAUAAACUGAAUGACAACUUAUGCUACAUUUCAUACCAUAGUGUAGUUUUAGUACCUUUAUUUUACUUUAGUAGUAAUGGCGUUCUCUUUCAUUUUGAAUCUCAAAAUAGGAAGCAAAACCCACAUCUCACUUAGGUGUUGGAGCUCUUCUGGCAGGUCAUUUCACUUUGCUAUCUCCCCCCCCCCCAACCCCGGUAUUCGGAGGCACAGCACAAGUUGAGUCUGCCUUGUCUGGAAUUCCGAAAAAUGUCCACACCGAUGGCUGAGAUUGUGAUGCCUUUGCUUCCUGAUGAGUCCAGUGUGCACAAACCUUACUCCAUGCACCAAUUUGGUGAAAUAUUGUGCAUACAAUAACUGUCAGGCUAUGUGUGUGGCUGAAACAUCAGUGAAUUUUGUGCACACACUUGGUCUCAGCCAAGGUGUCUAAUGAUGUAUAUGCAAAUAGGCCAAAAUAUGAAAUAUGGAAUACUUACAGUCCCAAGCAUUUUGGAUAAGGGAUACUCAACCUGUAUUGUAUACUCUGCCAAUAGAGCCAGGGUUUUACAAAUGUCAGCAAAACAACUGGCAGGUGUCUGCUGUGGCUUCAGAAUCCACCCAACCCAAGAUGCUAAAGUCUGAUAAGCUUUCUUUCAUUGUUUUUGACUUUUGCUGUUGAUUCUUGGUGAAAAACCCAACUGGUUUUGUAAACAGUGUGAGGUCCUGUUUAUCCAGGAAUACUUUGGGUUUGUGACCCACUGACUCUUUAAAUGAAAAUAUUUGCAUUCAAAUUGGUUAGAGUUCUGGUGAGCAACCCUAUUUAAAUAAGAAAUAUGCAAGUUGUGCAUGCAUCACAGAUUUUCAUUCCAGAGAAGGAUUCAUGUUUUCCUGAGCAGUUGGUGUGAAGUAGUUAUGUUUAAUUGUGUAAUGUGCUCAUAGCUUUUCAGGUUUAUAAGGAGUAUUCACUAAACAUAUGUGCUCUUCUCACCAGUUCCGCCUUGGCUCCUGUUAAUAUUAAAUAUGGUUUGAACAGUGGGAUUGUUCUUUUAUUCGGGUCCUCAGGUUUUGUUACAUCUUAAGCAUUUUAGAAUUACUCACGUGACCAGCUAGAAUGCAUGGAUUGCUUUCAAAAUGCAAGUAAUUUGUGGCAUUUCACAUGUGUCCAGGGAUAGGUGAGUCCUCCAUGAAGGCAUAGCAUUCUUUCUUAGAUAUCCUCUCCUUGGGGGAUAUUUGCUUCAGAUCUGCAUUUGUGAUUGUUUUGACAGCCCUUGGCUACAGUGCCAGAGGAAGGGGAAGAUACACACAGAGAUACAGACAGGGUAUGAUGGCAGUGCCAUAUGAUACAUGAGAAAAUUUGAGAGGAAACAGUUUAUGAGAGAGGGCAUGUCAUGAAAGCAAACAUCACGUUUUAAUUAAACACAAAAUCUCCUUUCAUGUAUUAUUUUAUGUAGGAAUGAGUUUAGAAGUGGGGGUUAAGCAUGGCUCUUGUCUCUAUGGGAAAGAUCCUAGGCUCAUUUCAGCAGACAUUGAAAUGAAUAGAAGGUUGGGGAAGAGCCUCAUGUCAGACAUGCAGACCGUAUUACUUACCAUUUGAAAAAAGGUAUAGCAACUUUAUAUACUCACAAAUAGGGAUGAACGAGUUACUGUGAUCUGUAUCAGUUUCAUAAGUACUGAGUCAUCCAUUCAUUCUAUGUGGUUUCCACAUCAGUUUGCAAACUUGAAAAUAUGCAAGAAAAUGUGACAGUUUUUCCCAAUACGCAGUUUUUUUGAAUGGAGAACUUUUUGCAAAAUUUGAAGUUAUGCAGCCUAAGAGUAAAGUGUGUUCUGAGGCAGGUAUUAGCCCAGGAAGUGUGUAUUGAAAUGGGUUGCUCAACCCAAAUGAAAUUCUGGCCUGUUCCUAGCCAAAGGCAACAAUGAAUUCCAUGUAGGCAAUUAAACGGUAUUGUGGAGAUGCAUAUUUCCACCCAUUCUUUAUUAAUCCAUUCAAUGAAAGGAAUUCUCAGACUGACUGGUUAAGAAACUACUAUGUUUCUGUUCAGGGUUGAAGACUUCAUUGGCAGCCUGCAUGCAUUACUAUUACUAGUCUGUAUAUAUCAGUGGUUCCCAACCUUUUUUUUACAAGGAACCACUUUGACCAGGGACCACUCUCCAACAUUAGUACUGAAAGGGUUAUAAAUCAGUUUUUGGUCAACUUUAGAUUUGGUUUGGUUAUCUGGGGUGUUGAUUCAGAAAAGUGUAUUGGAUAGACCAUAUCAGCUCUAGUUUCUGAUACAGAACACAUGCCAUCUAGUAGUCGCCAUCUGCUUGCCCACAGAAAACCAUAUUUAAAAAUCUAAAGCUGAUGUGGUCUACUCAAUGCAAUUUUCUGAAUUAGCACCCCAAAUAACCCCAGGAACAGUCUAAAAAUGAAGACAGCAAGGCGCCCCCGUUUCCAGGCACCACAUGGAACGGCUCCACUUGGGGAGAGAAGAGGAGGAGGAGAAGCAACAGUUAGGAGCCUUUCAUGGGUAGUCAGCCUCUCCCCUGCCAACAUUCCUAUUGCCUCAGCACUAUAAGAGGGUUUUGUGAGACCAGUCACUCUGGUUGCAACAGUGUAGUAAUGGUGAGGCCACAGACCAUAUUUUAGUUUUUGGGGACCCCUGGUGGUCCACAAACCACAGGUUGGGAACCACUGGUAUAUAUGCUAAAUUGUGCUUCUGACAAGAUAACUUCUAAUUUGACUUAGUUUAUCUUCAUAUAUGACAAUUCUUGUGUUUUUCACUUAUAUUUCUUCUGGUUUGUAUGGGAUAUGAAGUAAAUGGAAGUCUAUAUACUACAUAUUUGUUUGAUGUUAGAAUAGGACUCUGAGAAUGAGUGUUUGAAUCCCUGCUGGGCCUUGGAAAUCGACUGGAUGACCUUGAACAAGUCACAUAUUCUCAACUUUGGUCCAAGGAGGUUUGUGCGUGACUUGCCCAAGAUCAUUCAGUGGGUUUCCUUGAACAAUUGAUUAUUUGAAUCUUUGUAUCCCAGUGUGCUAGCCCAACACUCCAACCAAUACAUCCCACUGGUAUUAUGGUUAUUGUAGGCCAGAAAUUACUUGAAGUCACACAACAGCAUUAAGAACCAAAAUAUUAUUGGUUACUACAAAUUUUUGCCCCACCAGUUAAUAAAAUUGGUACUGUAUACCUCUUCAGUAUGGGGAUUUAGACUCUUAUUUGCUAUUUUUAUAUUAGUUUUUUUGUAACAAGAUGGAGCAAGAAGCUAACUAUCUUUUUCUGGUAAUUGGAGAGUGUAUUCUUUCUUUUACCUUCACUAUCCUUCUGGAGGUUCAGUAAAAUAAGAGUUUGAGAAUUCAUUUUCACAUGAGAGCUAGACUGGAUUUUUAGUUGGAGCUAUAAUACCGAACAUGCAAUGUUUAAAACAGUAAGGAUUUUACAAGUCUGAAGAGUAGCACAUGUUAAAUUUUGCCCCGAUAUAUGACUUCCCUGUGUAUAUCCCUUGAUGCCCACUAUUAGCCAUGGACAGUUAAGCUCAGAUAUCUGCACCCAAUGUGUGAUUAUCGUUAGCCGAGAUUGGGAAAUCUACAUCUUUUGGGCUCACUUCUCCUUUCAGUACUUGUGAGAUAUUGCACAAGUGAAGCUAUUUGCUCAUGAAUUUGUAUCUUCUAUUUUUAAAAAAAUCUUGGUGUUUGUGUGUUUCCUCUCAUCAAAAUUGUGUAAUCUCAUUUUUCAGUGUAGUGAACACUAUCCUUGACAGCUUUAAUAAAAUAAUGUGCAUAGGUCUUACAAUGUGACAAAGGAAGCAUAAUAAAGCAUUAUAUAUAUAUAGUGGGAAGCAAAGCAUGCCCUUUCUCACUUCUUUGUAAUGAAUUUUCCCUUGGGAAAUAGGUUUAUUUGCGUCCUGUUCUGGGUGUGUUUGAAGAUGCUCAUGUAACCACCUGUGUUUUCUGUCUUGAUCUUUUUUAUACCUAAAAUUUCCUUAAAAACACUAGUCAUCUUCUCUUGCCAUGUAUUAUCGUCAGUGAAUAUGUCAAAUAGAUAUUUAUAUUCCUUUAACUGCAAAUUUCACCUGAGGUGGUUUUUACUGAUUUUGAGUUGUAGAUUUCAUCAUUAAAUUAUGAAUUUUGGGAUGUUUUUCAGUUUAUAGUGAAAUGAAUUUAUAGCAUUUCCUUCCCAGAGAAAUGACAUCAAUCCUAAAUAGCCGAUGAAUGCGUAGAUUUUGAGAUUAGCAGGAUUGAAGCUGCUAUGAAUUUUUACAUGGUCUCCUUGUAAAGGAAAUUAAUGUAGCUUUGUGUUUACCUGGAAAUAAGCUCUCUCAAACAAGUAAGAUUUACCUGUUCUGAGUAAACACACACAGGAUUGCAGUGUAAAUUUGUGGUAUCGCCUAUAACAUUUAUCAAGAUAGCAGAUUGAGCCUAUAUUUUAAGUCACCAAACAAUAGAGAACAUUUAUGGAUGAAGUUUGUUUAUAUUCCAUUGAAUAUAGUGAGUUUCAAAUAGUUUUAACUAUGUGUGCUCAACAACAGCUUUCUUCUUAAGAAAUAAAGAUUCAAUUGUCAUGUAACGCAUUCCUGUAAAUAACAAGGAAAUUAAAAACUGGCAGGCACAGCCCUUUUAAAAUAAGUAAACUUUUAAGUGGUGAACUGGGCAAUUAUUUCUGCUUUGAAAUAAAGACUGGCAUUGCAUCUUCACAAUAUAGUAUGUGGAAAGAGAGCCUUUUUGGAAGCAUUUGUUGGCAUUCUGUAUUUAAAAUUGUAGCAAAUAGAUCAUUUUUAUUCUUCAUUGUUUGCCUGCUUGUUUCUCAGCAUGGUCAUAUUUUCAGCUAGUUUUUAAAAAUAAUGAUAAUAAUAAUAUAUAUUUUAUUACUUGCCCACCUUUCCUCAUGUCUCGAGGUGGAUUACAACAUUGUGAAUGCACCUUUCCAUCAAAUGUACUGGGCAGUUUUUCUGCUCCCCUUUCUGUCAUUUAUUUUGUCUGUUCCUCUCUUUCUCUCUCUCUCCCUUCCUCAACACUGUGCCCAUGAUUGAAGAAGUGAGAGAAAUAGUGUGUAAGAGAGCAAAUGAUUACAUAAAGGUGCAUCUACACCAUAUAGAAUUACGUAGAUGCAAUUUGAAUCCACUUUAAUUGCCAUGGCUGAAUGCUAUGCAAUAAUGGGUAUUGUAAUUUUACCAGGCCUUGAGCCUCCUCUGCCAAAGAGUGCUGGUACCUUGCUAAACUUUCAUUCUCAUGAUUCCAUAGCAUUGAGCCAUAGCAGUUAAAGUGCCGUCAAACUGCGUUAAUUCUGUAGUAUCAGUGAAGUCAGUAAUAUGACCAAAGGGAGAUUGGAAUUUAGGUUUCCUUUUUCCUGGUCAAUCCGUAUAGUCUAACUACUACAUUAUACACCUCGGAAUAUGCUCAGACUUAUGGAAAUCUCUGUACACAUGGAAUUCACAAAUUCUGACUUUGGGUUUGUGGUCGAAUGGUUUCUUUUCUUUUUGUUAGCUGUCUUGUUUUCUGACAUAGGCAGAUAAUAGCCUCUGCCUUGUUGUAUUUUGUAACAGAUAUUGCAAUGCUAAGCAGGAUCAUCUGUGGAUAAUGUUUGGGUAGGAGACCAAAAACAAAUACCAGAUUCUGUGAGUUGUUUUUCAGAGAGGACUUAGCAAAAACUUGCCCAACAAAAUCCUAUGAUAUUCAUAUUCAUGAAGUCACAUAUUUGGGAAGGUCAUUAGCAACAAAAAGCCCUUGCUCACACCCUAACCCUGAUGUGAAGUGAGAAAAUAAUGCUUCUUGUUCUCCAGUGAAACUAAAUAUUUUGGCACAAGGUGAGGUUUCAGUCCUCAUAGAGCUUUUUUGAGAAGGCAUACCCCAAAACAGUAAUCACAAUAUUUGCAUUUUUCUAUAGCCCAGUGCAAGACUCUGAAAUGACUGAUUUAGGUUAAUUGAGCAGUUUUUCAAUUGUGUUGAAUUGUUCUGUGACAGUUGUAUGUUCCAACUUCUAUUAUAAAGUUUAAAUGUAACUUUAGUUCUACAAAUACGUAGUGCUGUUUAAAAUAAGUAUGUGUAUGUAUGUAUAUGUGUGUGUGCGUGUGCGUGUGUGUGUAGCUUUGGAAUGCUCAAGGAAGGGUUAACACUCAUUUGCCAUUUGUUUUGCUAUCUGCCCCUGCUCACCAGAUUGCUCAUAAGAUCACUUUCUGUCUCUGUGGUAACUGGAUUUUGAAAAAAUUGUACUGGAAACAAGGUUUGGUAAUAAAGCUUCAGUGGAGAUACCUUUCCCCCAUGAUAACUGUUUCAGGAGUGAAAUUCCCUUCCUAGGGGUAGAUUUCUUUCACUACUAUUGUUCGCUCCCUGUUCUUAACUGUGGGUCUUUUGGAAGUCAGAUGUUUGUAAGUCAGGGACCGCCUGUGCUCUGAUUUUCAAGUUAGUUGGUUUCUCUGUUAUGCUCAAGUAGUUAUGAUAUCUUCCUAUCUGCAAUGAUUAAAAGUUCUGGCAUUAUAAAAGGCAGUAUAAGAAUUGAGUCAGUGGUCUAAUUAAGUACUCUGUAAAUGUUUAGGAUCUCUUUGGCCAUUGGCCAUGUCAGCUGGAUCUAGUGAAAAUUGUAAUACAAACCCAUUAGGUUAUCUGUUACCUCUGCUGUGAUAAGGUUCACUAGAGAAACAUUGAUUCUCAGUUUCAAGAUUUGUUGUCCUAAAUGAAAUAGCAUUAGAGGGCACUUAAACCAUAGCCUUCAGAAUAAAAUGUUAGCAUGAUCUUAGUACUAUAAUAUUAUUAGUUUUAAUUAAACCGCCUGCAGCUCGAAUCUUUAGUUGCAUCAUCCAACCUUGAAAUUCAUUUGUUUAAACCAACUUGAGUACCCCAUUGAGCUAAUGUCUCAUCCUCAAUAUUAUAAUGAUGCCAGUGCAACUGAAUUUUAUUUCAUCUUCCUGCAGUCUUUGAUGGCAUCUGAAAGCGAGAGAUACAAAAGUGUCUGCCUUAGAGGGAUGAGUUCCCUCCAACUCUAAAACUUACGCUGGUAAAAGCAGUUCUAUCAGGAGAUGCCCCCAUUGGCAGUGGGAUUUGUAUAGGUGUUGAUUCACCAUAAAACUGUUGAUUCAGUGAGUUGGUGAAUAGCAGUUCUGGAGCAAAGGCAGUGUAGUUUUGAGUAUUUGACCAGAAGAUUAAGCUUUUAAUAGUUACUGAGUCAUGGAAACCCACUGGUGACCUUGGACCAGUCACACACACUCUCAGCCACAAAGAAGGACAAUGACAAAUAUUCCCUAAAUAAUGAAAUGAUAGGGUCAACAUAAGUCAGACUCAACUUAAAGACACAUAAUAAUGCCAAAUUUGAAAAGUCUAAUUUUUAGCAAGCAUGUUUUCAGAAAAAGAAAAAGUUAUUCAAACUGGAAAACAAUGGUGGGAAAGCAUUUAUCAAUGAUAUAGUUUUAUUGAUUAGAAAAGCCUGAUUGUGUAACAUGUUGAUAGAAUAAAAGAGUAGACAGGUGGAGAUAACAAUUUUUCUUCAAGAGAAAGCUAACAUAUUUAUAACCUCAUUCUCUGUUUUUGAUAGUUGAAAUGCUCCUCUUUUGGUUGUCUUUCGGUCUCUCUCUCUCUCUCUCUCUCUCUCUCUACAGUGUGAAUUAAAAACUCUGCAACCAAUUCUUUCUUUUAUUGCCCUUACCCACAGUUUUAUGGAUUCGAACUGGAUCUUCAGUGUUGUACUUGAAAGAUUCACAUAUUAAAGGGGGGAUAGAUAUUUCACAAAUUAAGGAAGUUUGCAUGCAUGGAGUGUAACUUUUCAAACAAAAAUACAUUGUAUUACUAAUUCUGCAAAGUUGUCAUUUCAGCAUUUGUUUCAAAAAAACUAGUUAUUCACAAGAGAUCCUAAGUGUAACAGGUGCAUCUUUUCCACUUGGUCUUGAAAUUAGUGUGUUUACAUGUGAUAUUAAGCCAUGGUUGAUGCUCCAGGAAAUGCACUCAUGAAGUAAUUAGCAAUUAGCAUACCAGAAGGGCGACAGAAGGAAAAAUUAUGUUGUUAUGGAACACUUUGUCACACUGCAUUGUUCAUGUAUCCUUUUUACUAAGAGGAAGUUGUUCUUUUGUUUUUAUGUUUCAGUUAAAGUGCUUAUCAUGUGAUUCUACUACUAAGUUCCUUAGAACUUGUAUUUAGUUCAUAUUAUGAAGUCAUACACUUCUCUAUGUCUGCUUGAAUAUGAGACCCCUUAAAUUUCCUGUGAUAUGUAUCAUAUAUAUUGUGUGUAAAUAUAUUGUAGAAUAAGAAUAUAGGUCUUCAGAAUUCUGUUUUACCAACAUAGCGCUGUUUCAUUUUUAAUUGCAAAAUGCCUUAUGUGACGGAUAGUACUGCCAGAUGUCAGUAUCUGACUUUGUCUCAGAUCUGACUUAUCUCCUUUUCCCCUGAGCCUAAAGGAGAGGAAUCUGAGGGUAAUAGCAUUGUCCUUAAAACAAGUUUGUGCUUGUUUUGUUCUGUUCACUAUAGGUCACAUUUCUCAAAUGCAAGGCCUGCGGGCUGAUUCCAGCCCACAAUGGUAAUUUUAUGUGGCCCGAGGGCACAUAAAAUGCUAGUUCAACGUAGUUACCUUUCUGUAAUCUUAAUAUUACAAACAACCCUUUGAAGGUAACCAUAAGGCCCUCUGUGAAAAUGAGUUUGACACUCCUGCUGUGGGUUGUAACCCCCAUGUCUAUGAGUCUAUGUUAGAGUUAUACAUUUCUAACUGAUUUGUAUUCACAAUCCCUACAUAUUUAAUAGUGUAGGAAAUAUAUAGGGAUCACAAAAAUCUCCCAGUCCUGACUUAUUGGACAUCAGCUACUGUGAGCAAUGGCAGAUUGAUGUUUCCACUGCCUCCUUCCAACAAUCUCAGGUGUGAAGAGGAAUUGUGACAGGCAUCUCUCUUCUGAAUGUUGCACCAAAGAUUUCUUGAGAUGUGUGUGUGUGUGUGGAAACAUCAGGGAAAAACAGACUGCUUAAGUAUACUAAAUUAAAUUACCGAUCUAACAGGCUGCCCAAAAUUAUCUUUAUAACUUCAAUUCUAUAUUCAAUUCAAAUUUUAAAUAUAAGGUUCAGACACCCUGUAAAAUCUCUUUAAUUUGAUGUAAAUAUUUUAGAUAAAUGUCACAAUAAUUCUGUAAGCCUAAGUAUAAAAACAAAACUGUGUCAAAAAUACUUUCAUGUUAACACUAAAUUAUCUAUGAGACAGCUAUAGAAAAUCUGUGUGUAUGUUGUGUAUUUUAGCAUAAUUACGGUGAAAUGGAAGAUAUAGUAGCUUUUUUUGCACAGUCACUUUUAAUGCAUUUCAAAAUCAGAUAUUCAUGCAUUCAUUCUAAAACUAUAAAUAGCAUUUCUAGAUUUUUAUGCUUUGGAAUUUCAAGGCUGGGGUUAGUGUUUGAGAAUUAAUCCCUGUAAUCUAAAGACAUCUGAGGAUUUCCACCAUGCACCAGGCCAAGGUCUGUCCAGUUACAGAUUAUGCUUUCAACAGUGAGCCAGGCAUGUGCCUCUCAGAAGCUUACAAGUAGGAUAGCAGUAGUCUGGCAUUCAUAAAGAAUUUGCUUUGAAACAUGGAGUUACCUUUUCUGCACAAAAUUUAACGUGCAGAUGGGUUUUAACUCUCUAUAAGCUGCAAAUGAGAUGUCAUCAGGUUACUGAAAGAACACUUCUCCUAUAUGUAUAUAACUUUAAGAUGACUCCAGAGUGCAAGUCUAAUGAAGUGAAAUGGGUCAGUUGCUAGUGAGAAGGACAUUUUGAUAGUAACACUUUGCACAUGGAAUAAACUUAGUAUCAAUUGUGAUCUUUGAUGAAUACUAUUUUAUUCUCUUAAGCCUUUUAUAAUUUACAUCUUAUUGAUCAUAUUUGAUUAUCUUUAAGCUAAUAUUGUCUAGGGUUUACAAAUAAUGGGCAGCAUGCUGGUGUACUUUAUCCAAUUGCUAUCACUAGGGAGGUGUUAACUGGCACCCCAAACAAAGAACGCCUCCAGACACAAUAGCCAGGUAACCUCUAUGCAAAAUACCCUCACUGAUUGACUUUGCAGGUGCAAGGCUACUCAGUGCUAACCAAGCUUUUUAAUUGCAACAUUCACACUUUCUUCAAACAGAAAAGGGUUCUUUCUCCCACUCUAAACAUUCCACAGAUAGAUAGAUAAAUAGAUAGAUAAACACUCCACUUGCCUCAUUUCCAACAGAACUCUGAACAAACUUCUGAGGAUGCAUGCCACAAAUGUAGGUAAAAGUCAAGAGAGAAUGCUGCUGGAAUAUGGCCAUACAGCCCAAAAAACUCACAGCAACCCAAUCAGGAUAUAGAUGGAAAGUCUGUGCUAGCCACAGCUAAAUUCAGAUUAGUCAAGGCAGCACAUGAUAGUAAGUUCAGAUCUCCUAAAUUCUGGGUUGUCACUUCAAAAAUAUAUCAUCCAAUAACAACUACAGUUCUCUUAGCUGUAUUAUAUUUCACUUUUAUUGUGUUGUACUAUGCAGGUUGGGCAUUCCUUGUCUGGAAUACUGAAAUCAGACAUACUCCAAAAUCAUGACACCUUUGCGUUCAGUGCACAUAACUUUGUUUCAUGUACAAAAUGAUUAAAAUAUUAUGUCUAAAAUUACUUCCAAGAUAUGUUUAUAUAGUGUAUAUGAAAUAUUAAUUCUGUGCUUAAAUGUGGGCUCCAUUUCUAAAAUAUCUCAUUUUGCAUAUGCAAAAACAGGUAUUCCAAAACUUGAAAAAAAUCGAAAUCUCAAACAUUUCUGGUUCCAAUCAUUUUGGAUAAAUAAUAUUUAACCAAUCACUGUUUUGUGAAUGACUUCAGAAAUACAUCCUACAUCCUUCCCUACAAAGAUCUUAUUACAUAUUAGCCACGAAUACCUUUUAUACCACUGGAUUUAAACUUAUUAGACCAUAUUCUGAAACUCUCCAUCCCGGAACAAAAACUGGAGAUAGUUAUAGAUGUUGUAUGAGAAUUGUAGCUUAGAUGUGUUUUAAGAUUGCUGUUAUAGAAGAAACCUUAAUUUGAACCCCCCCUUCUUUUUUAGUCAAGAUUUGAUAGGUCAAAGGUCACAGAGUCUGCAUACCUGCUUGUAAUUUGAAAGGAAUUUAUGGGCGGAUAUUUUACCUUUUGAAUAAGGACAAGGUGAAAGCAACAACAGAGCGCCGAAGGGAAUUAUAGAUUUUCUUCUACAUUUCCUUGAAAAUGUCCAUUAAUGCUUAGACAUCCCAUCUCAUACUAUAAGGAUUCUAUAAAAACUCUUAGCACUUUUUGUUUUCUGAUCUGUAGCCUCUUUGUACUGAUCUCCUUAAUCAGCUGUGAUUUUCCUAAAUUAGGUGAGGGGUUAAGGUGCUAAAGAACCAUAGUGCUGAACUUCAUGUUAUUAUUUUUAUUCAUCUUUCCGUAGUACCCUGUGGAUCUAUUUACUUGGAUUCAGAGUUUUGAGCUCUAGUGCCUACUAUUCAUCGCUUCCUCACUUCCCACCAUGUUCCAAGUGAGCACAUGUUCACAAAUUAAAUUUGAAGAGCUUAUAUAUUUAGCUCUUCUUUGUGAUAAUUGUUUCUAGCUGCAAUCCACACCACAAUUAUCUGUGUAAACUCCAUCAAAAUUGGUAGGACAUGCAUCUACAUAAUUUUGCUCAGGAAUAUACUUUGUUUCAUUUUCAAAUAACAUAUCAUUUUUAGUAACUCAUGGACUUUGAUGGGAUCAUGUGCUAUGCAAUGUCAUACUACUUGUUGGUAUAAGUAAAGCUGUAUAUCUAGACCUUUAAUUGCAAUGUUGUCUUAAUUAAAUUUGACACUCUUUAUACUAUGAAGACCAUUAUACAGGCAGUACCUAAGUUACAAACAAGUUAGGUUCUGUAGGUUUGUUCUUAAGUUGAAUUUGUUUGUAAGUCAGAUCUCCAGCCAAAAAUACAUAUUUUUCAACUUUGGAUAGCAUAGGGAAGGGUUAACAUCCCUGUGGUGUUUGUUUUGCGGUCUGUGUCCUUGUUCACAAGAUUUCACUUAACUUUCUGUCCCUGUGAUCGUUGGAUUUUGAAAAAGUUGGUUUGUUGUGAAAACAAGAAUUGGCAAUAAAGCUUCAGUGGAGACACCUUUCCCCCCAUGAUAACUCUUUCAGGAGUGAGUUUCCCUUCUGAAGGGUAGAUUUCUCUCACUUCUUGUUCUUACCUAUGAAUUGUUUGGAAGUCAGAUGCUUGUAAUGUGGGGAGUGCCUGUAUAUCUGAUUUUUAUUUGCAAACCUCUGUAUUUAAAACAUCAGAAGUUAACAGCUUGAUAUCUUACUAUCUGUGUAUAUUUUGUACUGAAUACUACCAAACCAGUUUGGCAGCAUUUUUUAUGAGAAAAGAAAAGAAAAAAAAGAGCCUGAGUAUAAUGGCUUGGUGGUCAUUUCAGUGACAUGACACUACAGAGUCUACUAAACCUCCUACCGUUAGUGUUAUUGUUCAUUUUUAGGAAAAGAAGUACAAUUAUUCUCCAUAUGCUUUUUAAUGAAUGUUCAAAUUAUGGGCUUGGUUGGGGAACAAAAUACUCAAGCAAAUGUUGUGUAUCAAUCCACAAAUCAGUAGCCUAUACAUUAAUGUCUGCUUUGCUAAGUCAUUUGUACUUGAAUAGCAUUAAACAAGGGACAAAUCUUGUGGUAGUACGGUAGCCGAGUACAAGCUUGAUUCAGGCCAAAAUUUACACUAUAGACUCCAUAUCUCAGAGAUCAAUGAGCACAUAGAAGUCCCAACACAGUUUUCAGGCAUCUUCAACUAAGUUUUGCAUGAAAAGAACAUAUGUCUCUUGUGAAAACUAAAUUGAGAUUGAUGGUAUUUUGAGUGUAGAAGUGGAUACAUCAUUGAAUGCUACAGUUAUGAUUACCCAUGCUAUCCUAUUUCCCAUUUCUCUGGUGGACAGUGAAGAAAGCUGGAGUGUAUGUAACUGUGGACUGCUAAAAAGACAAAUGGGUCUUAGGGCAAAUAAAGCCUAGAAGCCAGAAUGACUAAACUGACUAAACUAAGAAGGUUGCCUUUUGGACAUGUUAUGAGAAGACAUGACUCACUAAAAAGGCAAUAGGAAAACAGGAAGACCACAUUUCAGACGAAUGGACUCAUUCAAGGAUACGAUAUCCCUGAAUCUGCAAGAGUUGAGCAGGGCUGUUAAGGAUAAGGUGACUUGGAGGUCUCCCAUUCAUAGGGCUGUAAUAAGUCAAAGUCAGCUUAAAGAAAGUUAAGAACAGCAACAGCGAUAUCCUGAUUGCAAUUAGCUGUGGCGAUUUUGGCAUAAAAGAACACUCUUUAACCCAAUUAAAAGGAAAAGAAAAAAUGGCAACACAUAUUUGUCUGUUUUUUGUGUGUCACUCUUUAUGGAUUGCAGAAAUAUUAAUGUUUGCAUAUUGUAAAUAGACCCAUUGAAAAAACAGGCCUGACUGAUUUGUUUGUGUGAUAUAAGUGGAACUGCACUACACAUGACUAAUUUGGAUUUAACUCAAUGUAUUUUAAAAUACAGUUAUUGAUUAUUGUUUUCUUGAUUUUUCAUUCUCUGCACUGUAGACAUAAUGCUUGUGAUUAAGUGAGGCAUUAAGUGAGCAAAAACGGAAGAAUUCUUGAGGUUAAAUUUCUCCAAUUCUAAAACCAUGCAAAAACUCUAAAGAACCUUUUUUAUAGGUGAGCAAGCUUUACAAAAUUCAGCCAAGAUUAACUUCUCAAUAAUUAUGAAGGUACUUUAUUUCAGAAAGAAGAGCAUAGUUUCCUUCCAUAGUAAAACCCUAAUAACAUCACAGCUGAAAGGUUAAUUUUAAAUUCUUGUAUACAGUUUUCUGUGUAUGCUUUGAGGGUUCUACCACAUCCUGAAAGAAAUUCACGAAUAUUGUCUUGCCCUGUUUAUUUCAUUUCUAUUGUUGUCACCAAGGAAAGAUUGUAGUUUUACUUUAGUUUAGAAGGGGUGUAUGGAGAUUCAGGUCUCAUCUACACUGCCAUAUAAUGCAUUUGAAACCAUAUUAUAUGGUCAAGUGGACUCAUAUAAUGCAAUUCAACUAAGUUAAACUUGGAAGAAAGUUUGCCUAGAAAAAGCAGCAGUAGGUUCACCUUAGAGUUGCCACAAAUCAGAUAUGACUUAUAGGGAACACAACAAUAGAAAGAGGGAUAAUAUCUCUUUAUUUAAAUCCAUAUUUUUAUUUAUAUUAAAGAUAUGAGGCUUGGAUCACAUAUAUGACAAGAAUAUUCUUAAUAAAAAUAUAAAUGUGUUCAGUGAGGCUGCAGAGACUAGGGAUUUUUCACUCCUAUUGAGAACAGGACAAUAUGUUUCGCUCUUGAAUGUCUAACCAAUUCUCCCUGUAUAGUACAGAUAAUUUUAAUAUGACUAGUUACUAUAAUAGUGCCAGUAAUUUAUGAGACCCUUUCAAAUUUGUUUUGGAAAAAGCAAAAAGCAUUUAGCGACAGAUAAAUUAGGGUGGAUAGUAAAUCACACUAUGGAAGAAAAAAAACAUUUAGACAUAUCCUGCAAUGUGUGCUGCAGACAUACCUUUUCAUUUGCACUUGUAAUAAUUACCCCCAAUCUCAUUAGAUAUGGAUGUGAAAAUUUGUUGUGGUCUUCCCCCACAAAAUAAAGUCUUACAUUAGAGGCACUGUUGGCGAUGAUGUCGGUAGUUUUGCUAUACAAUAGUAAAGGAAUAAACAGGAAUCUCUUAUUUUUAUCCUCAGUGGAAAUGAGACAAGCAUUUUCACUUCUACUAUCACAUCGAGAAAUUUGACUUCCUUCUUGGUACAAAGGAAAAUCUACAGAACUCAGUAGUUUCUGUGAAGAGUACAGAGUUUCCAGAUUAAUGAUAAAGUCGGUGUGAAACCAAAGUUCUUGUAGAAAUGAUUAGCUGGUAAUAAUGUUGCCUUUGCUGUCUUCAGUUCAGUUUUUGUUGCCAGCCUUAACAAAAAAGUCAAGGUGAAACUCUUCACUAGAGACUAACCGGGAGAGCAAAGAAUCUAAGUACAGUACUACCACAGUAUUUAAUACUUUAAAAAUGAUGUACAAAUGAGGGAGAAGAGCUGAUCAGUAGCAUAGGAUAACAAACAAAUAUAUUUUCUAUAGCAUUUGCAACUAUACACAAAGGAAAAGAAAUUAUUUUUCCAGUAGAUGAAAAAAUGUUCUUAAUAAUGGAAGAGUCCUACAAGAGAGACCCUAGUUUAAAGGUUUGAAGAAGAUGUUGAUGUCCUCUUCCAAAAUACUAGUAAUAUUUUUACAUCUUGUUUUAAAAGACUAGCAUUGAAGCCUCUGUGAUGUAGUGGUUUGAAUACUGGACUCUGAGUGGUAGCCAGAUUUCCAAUGUCCACUCAACCACAGAAAUCCACUGGGUGACUUUGGGCACGUCACACUUUCUCCGCCUCAGAGAAAGGCACUCUGAACCAAGCUUGUCAAGAGAACCCUAAAGAUAGGUUCACCUUAGGAUCAGAAAUGUCUUGAAGACAUGCAAGAAGAUGAAGUCAUAUACACGUCAGCCUUGCCAUUUCACAGCAAAUUAUUUUUUCUGUUGUAUUUUAAUCAAAAUAGAGAUACAAAGAGAUGAUCAUGUAGAGACAUUAAAAGGCACUUAUAUAAUGAUACUAUGAAGAAGAUCAAUUACAUGAAAAGGGGGAUACCAUAUUAUAAGAUACCAUAUUAUAAAAUAUGGUAAUGUUCCAAAUUCAUAUCCACAAUGCAUGAUGUAGGUAACCUCUGGUUUACUGCAAGGUGAUAACAUCUGUAGCAUUUAGUUCAGAUGGAACUUACACACUUAGGUGUGUGCCAGAGUUAAGCAAAUGCAUAUAGUCUAAACUAGGAAUGCAAAUGUUUGAUUAUUUCAUCUUCGCCAAUAGAACAAAUAAUUUCUGCAGUUCUUGCUGUGAGAAAAAUGAAUAUUUAUAUGGAGUUCUCACUUGGUAUUUGUGCAUCUUAAGGUGUUUCACAAUACUGGGGAGGUGUGCAUAACAUUUGUACAAAAUUUAUAGUUUUAAUGAAUAAUUUUAAUUCAGAUGAGCCAGAGAUAACCCCUGGGUGAUCCACAGAUGCUCAUCUUUGCAAUACAGGCAAUAAUUUUAUAGGAAAUUUAAUGUUGACAAAUCUCUCAAAAUAUGAAAUGUCUAGGGUCCUGUAAACUAGAUGCCAUGAGAAAUCAAACUGAUUAGCUGAUUUGAUUUGAAAAUACAGCAUUGUUACACAAUCUGCAUUUUAGGGAGUGUACCUCUGUCCAUUUUCUUGCAUGCAUGUGCUGUUCAUUUCAUUUGACUGUGGUAUCAAUUUGGGAUUCUCUGCUCUCCCAGUUCGUUUCUAGUUAAGAGUUUCACCUUGACUUUUUUGUUAAGGCUGGCAACAAAAACUAAACACUUUGGUCUACUUUGAAAUACUGUGUUCAGUUCUGGGCAUGCCAGUUCAGGAAGGCUAUCAACAAAGGAUAUCAACAAAUAUUUUGGAGAAGACUGAGAGGUGACAUAACUGUUUUUAAAUGCAUGAACAGGUUUCAUGUAGAAGAUGGAGCAAGCUUCAAGUUUGAAGAAGGGCAAAUCCGCUUAAACAUUAGGAAGAUUUUCCCCCCUAUAAGAACUGUUCAGCAGUGGAAUGGGCUGCCUGAGAGAGUGGCGGAAUUGUAUAUCUUUAAAUAGAUGUUAGAUAGAAGUACUUUUAAUGUGUUUUCCUUGCAUAUAUCAAGGGGUUGGACUGAAUGAUCCUUGUGGUCCAUUCCAACUCUAAGAUUCUGUGAUUCUGUGAUAGCUUGUCAAGUGCCAUAGGAUUGCAUUCUUUUUAAUGUUUUUGCAACAUGUUCAUGAAAUAAUUAUGAGUCAAUAUAUAUGGAUUUGAGGUGUGGGCUCUCACCCUUGUUUCUUUUUUAAUUUCUUUUCAUGAGUGAAGAAAUGAUAUCCUGAAUAUCAGAACUUCCUGCAUCAGUUCACCAGGUGCCAUAGGAUUCAGUCCUCUUGAAGUAGUCAGAUGAAUGAGAGAAAAUAAACCAAAGCAGUACAAGUAAUGGAAGAUCCAGCUGUUCCUGGAAUAGGGGGUUGAAACAAAUGUCUGCUAUGUCAUGAACAUGCACUUACCGUAUAUACUUGAAGAUAAGCUGAGUUUUUCAGCCCUAUUUAUGAGCUGAAAAAGCCUCCCCUGGCUUAUAAUCGGGUCAAGAUCAAGCCGGCAGCAGAGCCUGGAGGCCGUUGCUUGCAAUAUAUGAUAUAUUUAUCUCUCAUCUUACCCUCCCUCAUCAGUGUUUACUUUUACAAAGCCUCCCUCGCUCUUAACCAAGGGAAUGUUUUCAAAAGAGAAAGAAGGCCUUGCAAGUCAGGAAGAAGAAUAUAUAUAUAUAUAUAUAUACACAUUAAUCUUAUAAAAGAAUUUCCCCCUGCAAAUAUCACAGAUGAUAUGUGUGGACUGGAAAAUGUAAAUGUAAAGAAACUAAAAGAAAAUCAUAAAUGCAGUAUCUAUAUGUACUGUAUAUUUUAAAUAUGGUCAACAGUAUUAAGAUUUAAGGUUGGAUGACCCAGAGAUAUUCACGGUUGUACUACUUUGGGUGUGGGGGGCUUUGCUCCUAAUCCAUCCAGACAUGGAGGGCUGACUAUACUGUUGAGGCUCUUCUUAAUACCAUUGCUAUCUCUGAAUCUGAUUAAAUCAAAUUAAAUCAGGACCCUUGUGUCCCUUCAAUGCUGUAUGGAUUUAUAUGUUUUACUAGAUUGAAAAUAUUCAAUAUAUUUCACACUAGAUUGAAAAUAUUCAAUCUAGAGUGAAAAUGAAAAUAUUAAAUGAUAUCACUGUAGUGUCAUUCAGCUACAACACCUCAUCAUGCUGUAAGAUUGGAUGUGCAAUAAUAGUGGGUCAGUUUUGGAGACCCCAAAAUUGUAGAAUAAUGUAUUUGCUUAUAGAAAUUAGUUGUCCAGAAAUUAUAAUUAUUUGUUUAUAUAUGCAUUUUUGAAAUGUUAUCCAUUCUGAAAUUAGGUACCAAAGAACAAUGAAGUGACAGUAUUUUUUCAGUAGUUUUGAGUACACAGGUAGCUGAAAGCCAGGUGUUUGAGAGCUGAACAAUUAAAAGACUUCCAUGUAGGUGCACAGAUACGUUGCUUGUUGUUCAACCUUUAAAAAGUAUGAUUCUAAUAAAUUAUAUAUUUAAAAACUCACAUUAAAUUAAAAUCUCACCAAACAAGCAUAGAUAGCACUUAUACUUUCUGAACACUUUCUUUUAAACUGUUUGAAGCUUGUUCUGAAAGAUUCUUCCUUAUUCUUACAAGUUUUGGGUGAAGACUCCCACCCAUUGAGGAUUUGGGUUUGGAGUUGCUUAUCUUGUUUCUGCAGUGGGUCUGUGGGAGUGUGAUGUGGGGGUGUAUUGUUGCACUGCAGUGCUCCCUCCCACUACACUUUUAAAGAUGACAACAACAAGACAACAACUGCAGGUUUCUUUCUUUCCUAUAUAAGUUGCCUGGUCCUCAGGGGCUGCCUAGUUAGAUGAUCUCAGUGUUUGUAGGCUGGGAAAUGACAUUUUAAAAAACAAACCUAAAAACAAAAUUGCAGCUUUCUCUUUAAAUAACAGAAGUCUUUCUCCACAUAUGUGUGUGUGUGUGUGUGUGUGUGUGUGUGUGUGUGUAUUACACACACGCACACAUAUACACAUACAGGAUCACUAAAGUAAUGGCUAUCACUAUUUUAAAGUGCUGUUUUCUGGACUUAAUUUCUGCCACGGUAUAGUCACCAGAGGUUUUCCUCAAUUAAACAUAUAUGAAAUGAAGAAGGAGAAAUAAUGUUAAGGUAAUCUAUCUUGACAGUUUUGUUGUCAGUUCACCCCGGUGGCGAAGUGUGUUAAAGCACUGAGCUGCUGAGCUUGCAGACCGAAAGGUCCCAGGUUCAAAUCCCGGGAGCGGAAUGAGCACUGCUGUUAGCUCCAGCUUCUGCCAACCUAGCAGUUUGAAAACAUGCCAAUAUGAGUAGAUCAAUAGGUACCACUCCAGCGGGAAGGUAACGGCGCUCCAUGCCGUCAUGCUGGCCACAUGACCUUGGAGGUGUCUACGGACAAUGCCGGCUCUUUGGCUUAGAAAUGGAGAUGAGCACCAACCCCCAGAGUCAGACAUGACUGGACUUAACAUCAGGGGAAAACCUUUACCUUUAGACUUGUUUUAAUCGGAGUAUUUUAGUGUCUGUUUCAGGGCAUAUUAAUACAGAUGUAUCCAUAUUCAUGUGGAGACGAGAUCAUUUUGACUGUUCUAUUUUUUAUACAAGGUAGCAUUUCUAUUAUAUAUCACCCAGUAACUUAUAAUCAUGAAGUCAUUCCCAGCACUGCUAGGCUACAUAUAUACCUCUUUCGUGACAUUAAACUGCAGUUUUCCGCUAAUUUAACAUGUGCAUGAUAAAUCACAGCUCAUCUUGCCUAUGAUUGGUCCGGUGAUAAUAUUUUUCAGCAAAUGUUUGUUGAUUUAAGUGUAAGUCCUGGAUAUAAAGAAUGAACAUAUUGGCCUAAAUCCAAUGGUUAGUGCUAAUUAGAGUUGACCCAUUAAAUCAUUGGGAAUGUGGUAAAUUCCUUUGAUUGAGUGGAUCUAAUCUGGUCAUUAUAAAAGGCUAUUUUCUGAACACUAUCAUGUAACCAGCUUUUAUGCAGAUAAGCUCCAACACAACAUUGCCAAAGCAGUGUUCUAAUAUAGUACAAAGGAGCUUUUUAUUGCAUUCCUGGUGAAUUGUUUUAAAACAACUUUCUAAGACAUUUGUUUGCUUUUAAAAAAGAUUAUAAUGUCAAACUAUUCUUGUGUAAAAAUGAGUUAUUAUAAAGCGUUUCUUGUCUAAUUCAGAUUUGUUUAUUUCACUUCAAACUUCUGAAAAUUUUCAAUUUUUAACAUAUUAUGAAGAAUAUCAAGGAUCAGCAACCAUAAUUGGUUCCCAUGUACAGCAUGUUUUCUCAAAGAUACUGAAAAAUAAUAACCAUAUAAAGUGUACAUUUUGAAAGUUUUCAGUGGCAUAGACAAAUAUCAACUUAGCUAACUUUAUACUGUGUCCCAAUAACUUCUGUCUGACAAAAAGUCCCCUUUUGUUUAGUUCUUUGCUUAAUGAAACUUGAGAAGUAGUGUAUGCAGAAAUUGAGCAGGGGUUGAAUUAGGAAACCUCUAGGAAUGUAAAACCCUGUUGGAUAUUGCAUCUGAGUGUAGCAUUGUAAUUGUUCUGGAAUGAUAGAUAGCACAUUGUCAUUAAAUAUGGGGAUGGGGGGAAUAGACAGUCAGUAGUGAACAGUAGCAGGUGACUAAAGUUGUUGCUUUUCUCUACAUCUUAGCUAGUUUUGUUUUUUUUCAAACUGGAGCAGUGACAUGAAGCUGAGAGACACUCUAAUGCCCUGGUGUCAUUUUCACCAAGGGCCACAUCAGAAUUAUGGUUGCAUUCAAAGGGCUGGAUAUAAAAAGUUUUUUUGUUUUUUAUAUAUAAAAAGGGGGGCAGGCUGUGGCGCAGGCUGGUAAGCAGCUGCUGCAAUAAAUCACUCUGACGAAGAGGUCAUGAGAGCGAGGCCAGCCCAUGGCGGGGUGAGCACCCAUCAAUUAAAAAUAAAAUAUAGCCCCUGCUUGUUGCUGACCUAGAAAUCCGAAAGAUAGUUGCAUCUAUCAAGUAGGAAAUAAGGUACCACUUAUAAAAGUGGGGAAGCACGUUUAGCUAAUUUACAACGUUGGAAUGAGGAAGUGAGGAAGUGCCAUCAGAGUGGAUGAUGAAGCAGCUGCUCCCCCCUGUGGCCAGAAUCGAACAUCCCCUCAGGAGAAGGUUAAAUUGCCUCUGCAUCUGUCUGUCUGUCUGUCUGUCUGUCUGUCUGUCUCUGUUUGAUGUGUUUAUGGGCAUUGAAUGUUUGCCUUAUAUGUACAUAAUGUGAUCCGCCCUGGGUCCCCUUCAGGGUGAGAAGGGUGGAAUAUAAAUACUGUAAAUAAAUAAAUAAAUAAAAUUGUAAGACUGAGUAAAGUAGUUAUGUUGCUCUGGCAUUGAAAGCCUAAUAUGUAGUAGUGGUGGUGGUGGUGGUGGUGGUGGU